AUUGAACGCUGGCGGCAGGCCUAACACAUGCAAGUCGAACGAGUGGCGGACGGGUGAGUAAUGUCUGGGAAACUGCCCGAUGGAGGGGGAUAACUACUGGAAACGGUAGCUAAUACCGCAUACCAUCGGAUGUGCCCAGAUGGGAUUAGCUAGUAGGUGGGGUAAUGGCUCACCUAGGAGACGAUCCCUAGCUGGUCUAAGAGGAUGACCAGCCAAACUGGAACUGGGACACGGUCCAGCCUCCUACGGGAGGCAGCAGUGGGGAAUAUUGCACACUGGGCGCAAGCCGUAUGCAGCCAUGCCGCGUGUAUGAAGAAGGCCUUCGGGUUGUAAAGUACUUUCAGCGGGGAGGCGUUACCCGCAGAAGAAGCACCGGCUAACUCCGUGCCAGCAGCCGCGGUAAUAC
rnacentral:rRNA from 1 species